AAGAGUUAGGGUCUUCUAGGCCCGACCUCCCACCCCUUUGUUUAUUGAACCUCUGUUGCUUCGGCGGACCCGUCUCACGACCGCCGGAGGAUCGCUGAAAGGCGUCCUCUGGCCCGUGUCGGCCGAUGGCCAACCCCUCAAAACUCUGAAUAAAUCGUGUCAUAUGUCUCAGUCUAUGAUUAAAUUAAAAGCA
rnacentral:misc_RNA from 1 species